GUGGGGAAUAUUGGACAAUGGGCGAAAGCCUGAUCCAGCCAUGCCGCGUGUGUGAAGAAGGUCUUCGGAUUGUAAAGCACUUUAAGUUGGGAGGAAGGGCAGUAAGUUAAUACCUUGCUGUUUUGACGUUACCGACAGAAUAAGCACCGGCUAACUUCGUGUCAGCAGCCGCGGUAAUACGAAGGGUGCAAGCGUUAAUCGGAAUUACUGGGCGUAAAGCGCGCGUAGGUGGUUUUGUAAGUUGGAGGUGAAAUCCCCGGGCUCAACCUGGGAACUGCCUCCAAAACUGCAUGACUAGAGUACGGUAGAGGGUAGUGGAAUUUCCUGUGUAGCGGUGAAAUGCGUAGAUAUAGGAAGGAACACCAGUGGCGAAGGCGACCACCUGGACUGAUACUGACACUGAGGUGCGAAAGCGUGGGGAGCAAACAGGAUUAGAUACCCUAGUAGUCC
rnacentral:rRNA from 1 species